CAGUCCGGACUCCACGACUCCACUUCUUCCUCUCUAAUUUCCACCGCCCCGGUGAAAGAAAACUGGCCGUUGCCGCUCACGUCCUCCGCGGCGCACUCCUCUCCCUCCCUUCCGCACCUCCCGAGCGAGCUCCCGAAGCCGGUGAUGGCAUCGCGGCGAUGCGUGCCGGUCGAGGCGCUGCGCGAGGGAGUUGGGUGGCGGCGGCUCCACCGGCGUCGAGGCGGAACGGCGAACAGGGAUCACCGAGGACGGAGACACCCACGUCGACCAGAGGCUAAGCGCGGCGGUGCGUACGUACGCCGCCUGACCUCUCCCUCCUCUACUCUCCUCUCCCUUUGUCCGGCCUCACUUCUUCUUUCUCUGUUAGCGAGCGCAGCGGCGGGCGCACUGGAGGAUCUCGACCUACGCCGGCGCGUCCUUUACUCCACUGCUUCUGCCAGCGGUGUACUUUGUCCGCCGCCGCGAUCUUGGAUCUACUAUCACAUACGAAUGGUGAAAGGAUCGGCAGGGAUCCGGGGCAAGCAGCACGGCAACUCGCCAUGCCCGUGCUGGCUUCUUCAAAUGAGACUCGAGAUCCUCAGCCUGUUUUGUUGCAGAGAUAGGCAAGUGAUGGACUUGCAGAGAGCCGAAUGAGGAAAUGUUGCUGCUUGGAAAAAACACAAAGUGCGGGAUGUGCAUCUCAAUACACCAAGUUAAAAUCUUGGGAAAAUAUCUUCUUACAUGACCUGCAGGCCAUACCAUGGAAGCAAGAAAUGACACCAUGUGUAGGUAUUUGCAAAAAACCUUAAGGAAACUGUGCCUUAGAGGGGUUUGAAUUGCAAGGUUGCUUCUUAGAUGGGUCACAUGUUAUGAGGAGUACUCCUAAAACCCAUUACUUGCCCUCUGAAAAUAAUAUUACCAUGCCUGCUUGCUAACUUCAGUUUUGGAUUAGUUUUUUUAAAGGAAAAUCGUGGGUGCUAAAUCUUUAACAUUUCUUCGUUAUUACAGUUUGAUUAUAGAAACGGUCUGGAUAUAUAUGGAUUAAUUAGUUCCAUGUAAAUAUUAACCUUAAAUAUUUUUUUUGCUGCAGAUUGACACAAACAGUGGACUGCCAAUAUCAACUACCAGAUUGAUCUACAUGUCAUGACAUCCAUUUCGUUAGAGAAUUUUACUGCCAAAAUAUAUGCAACAUCACCUGUAAGUAGUGCUUUGUAGGCAGGUAUUCAAUAUAUGUGAUAGCAUGCCCUUCUUAUAUAUCUUUUUGCAAUGAUGGGAUUUUAGAGAGCCUUUGCAUAAAUAUAAAACUUAAAUCUAAGCAAGCAAAUCAUAUGUGUUCAGAGUCCAGUCAAGGUGAAGGUGAUCUUGACUGAAAUUUUUAGUUCUUUUUGUUUUAUUAUUCUCUGACACACAAACUCUAUUCAGAAAUUUUGAUGCUCUUGGUCAUAUGUAAUAGUAUUUAAAUUUGAAUGAAAGGCAGAAUUGUAUUUUUAUGAUGGGUUGUUGGUCUCCUCGACAAUACUAAGUACUGACCAGGCUAAGCUUGGCAUUAUGUUUUCAAGGGAUUUUUCAUGUGGCAGUUGUAUAUGCUGGAAAAAACAGGUAGGCGACAUUACCUAUCUACAUAAAACCUCAGAAUUUCUUAAAUUUGAGUGUUGAAAAUAUGUUUCAGUGUGCUCCUAAAAUUCAAAUAAAUAGUGGAACCCCAUGCUUACGUGAACAUCAGGUUGUUCAGUGUUCAUGAGUGUUGAUGUAUCCAUCGCAUUUUAUAGAGUUCUUUAGUGGCCUAACACUAAGGCUUACUUUAGUCUCCUCUCUAUGUCGCCAUUACCAAGUGAAAAUGUAUCAGCAUCAAACACUUAUGUUUUUAUUCUGCAUUGGUGAGAGAAAUAGCUGCAGCAAGCAUCAAUUUAUUCUUUAUGUGCCCUUAUAUAGUUACAGUGCAGUUAAGUUGUUAUUGGCAUGUUUAGUCAAGGUGGCAUCUAUAUAGAUGGCCACUGUGUGCACCAUGAAUUAUGUGGUUGAUUGUAUUUCCUCUUUCCCGUAAAUUAGUCUGAUUUCAUAUGAUCUUAUCUUCCGAUUCCUCUUAUAACCAGGUUGUGGGAUAUCAGGAUAUGGUACUCUAUUUUUUUUGUGAGAUGUAUGGUACUCUAUAUUGAUAUCCAACAUCAUUUACUUGAAGAUCAAUACCAUUUUAGGGUGCAUGGUCACUUUGGUGAGAAUAUCAUUUUGUAUAUCAAUCAGUCCGGCUUCCGAACCACAAGAUCAAUUGUGUUGGUUUUCAUUGUGUUACCUGCAACACUACAGGUAUGUUCUGUUUUCAGUUUGAAGAACCGUCCGUUUUGCUAUUGUGAUUUCAGUACCACUCAUGAUGUGCCAAGCAAGCAAUGCAGGAUCACUUGACUGGAUAUUUGUGCUUCCAUUUUUUGUAUGUGUAUGUGCUUUUCUUCUUGGUUUCCUAAGUACACGUUGUACAAGUGUAAUUGUAAUCGCUGAUGCUAUACUACUUUUGCCAUAGUUCAGUGUUCUGGUGUGUGUGCCUCUAUCAGACAGUGGUACCUUAGACAAGGCAAGCAAAAUUAUUGAUUACAUACUCGGGUUAGUUCCCCAAGCUUCCAUAACUUUCACACUAUAGCAUCGCACAUUUCAGAUAAGCGCACCAAAUCCCUAUGGGGCUUCUCAAUCUUGCCAGUUUUCCUCUAGACUGUUCCCUUCGUGCUCUGUAUUGUGCGUUCUCUAGAUCUUAGUUCAUUGCACAGCCUCUUCUUAUUCACAACUGUUAGUCUUUUAUCUGCCAUUGCCAGCAGUGGAGAAGAUUUUUUCCAUUGAAAAGAGAAAAAUGCAAUUUCUGCAAAGCCUACAUUAGUUAGAUUUAUUUUCCUAUAUCUAAAGUGUCCCCUACUUAAUAGGGUCAUAUGGUGGUGCUUAAGAACAUUCUUUGUUCCGCUGGGUUCAACCUACUUUUUUCAAAGACGACCAAAUCGGGGGGCUUUGGUUGAAGAUCUCAGAUCUUUCGCGCAUAUGGAGUCAGCCCAUCCCGAGCAACACAAGCUAAACCUUUUCAUGCACACAGUUAUGAGCUUCCAAGUUCUCAAAACAUGUUUUCAUGUAUUUUUUAAAUUCAGAGGAAUGGUACAACUGUGUACUUAGAUAAAUAUGAGAUGGUUUGAUCCUGCCUUGCAUUGUUUAGGAUGGUGAACAUAUAGAAGUUUCGAAUCUAUCAUAGAAGGUCAAAUAUCAAAAGAGUAAAAUAUUUAACUCACUUACAAUGAACACACUCAGAAUUACACUUCAUUAUUCGAUUUGGUUGUGUUUGAAGAUCAUGCCUUUUUUAUUUUCUUUAAAGCUUAUCUAAAUAGAAGCUACAGAAUAGUGCAUGCUUAAUUACUUACUGUUCUAUAUCCUAUCGUACAUAUAUUCAUGUGUACAUAUCCAGUCGCAGAUCAAUAUGCCAUUUCGAAGGUUCAGUUUCAAAGAACAUUCUAAGUUAUGACCUUUCUUUGCGGGUUCUAGCGAUAUAUGCAAUGAAGUCAGUCUCUACACAUCAUGAUUAAGCAAUGUGUUUCUGAAUAUCGAUUUUAUGAUAUAUGAGGUGUUUCAAUAUCGGGGUGAUGUUGAUUGCACCAACCCAACACGAAAGGGAAGUAUAGGCAUGUGCCUAAUAUGAACUCACAAAUUCUCGACACUAUUUUCAAGACGAUGGAUGAUAUGGCAGAUGCUGAUUUGCUAUGUCCUCAAGAAUUUCUCCACAAGGUGGAUCCUAGAAAUUUUCGGCAUCAUAAGAUCUCGCUAAAAGUUGCUGCCUCAAUAAUGUUACUACAGAAUAUUAAUCAGUCUAUUGUACUAUGCAAUGGUACCAGUCCCAUGGUUACUAGAUUGGGUAUUUGGGUGAAUGGGUUCUGGAGGCUAAGAUCAUUACUGGUAGCAACGUUGGCCACCGCAUAUAUAUCAAUGAUUGUAUUGCAUGUACCAUCCAUCAAAUGGCCGUUUACAUUACAAUGAUAGCAGUAUCCAGUUCGACCUUGCUAUGCAAUGACAGUUAAUAAGAGCUAGGGGUUGACACUUGAACAAGGUUGUUGUUUAUUUGCCAAAAUUUUCCUCACGGGCAACUUUAUGUGUUGUCUCAAGGGUGACCUCCGGGAGAGGAUU